rnacentral:rRNA from 1 species
GGCGCGCAAAUUACCCAAUCCCGACACGGGGAGGUAGUGACAAUAAAUACUGAUACAGGGCUCUUUUGGGUCUUGUAAUUGGAAUGAGUACAAUUUAAAUCCCUUAACGAGGAACAAUUGGAGGGCAAGUCUGGUGCCAGCAGCCGCGGUAAUUCCAGCUCCAAUAGCGUAUAUUAAAGUUGUUGUGGUUAAAAAGCUCGUAGUUGAACCUUGGGCCUGGCUGGCCGGUCCGCCUCACCGCGUGUACUGGUCCGGCCGGGCCUUUCCCUCUGUGGAACCCCAUGCCCUUCACUGGGUGUGGCGGGGAAACAGGACUUUUACUUUGAAAAAAUUAGAGUGCUCCAGGCAGGCCUAUGCUCGAAUACAUUAGCAUGGAAUAAUAGAAUAGGACGUGUGGUUCUAUUUUGUUGGUUUCUAGGACCGCCGUAAUGAUUAAUAGGGACAGUCGGGGGCAUCAGUAUUCAAUUGUCAGAGGUGAAAUUCUUGGAUUUAUUGAAGACUAACUACUGCGAAAGCAUUUGCCAAGGAUGUUUUCAUUAAUCAGGAACGAAAGUUAGGGGAUCGAAGACGAUCAGAUACCGUCGUAGUCUUAACCAUAAACUAUGCCGACUAGGGAUCGGACGAUGUUAUUUUUUUGACUCGUUCGGCACCUUACGAGAAAUC